rfam:Dipodomys ordii contig_5561, whole genome shotgun sequence.
ACCACUGAGCCACCUUCCCAGCCCUAUGAUAACUUUCUUAAAUUAUUUAAUAUAAUAGGCUGGGAAGGUGGCUCAGUGGU